rnacentral:rRNA from 1 species
AUACGGAGGGUGCAAGCGUUAAUCGGAAUUACUGGGCGUAAAGCGUACGUAGGCGGUUCGUUAAGUUAGAUGUGAAAGCCCCGGGCUUAACCUGGGAACUGCAUUUAAAACUGGCGGACUAGAGUUGAUUAGAGGGGAGUGGAAUUUCAGGUGUAGCGGUGAAAUGCGUAGAGAGCUGAAGGAACACCAGUGGCGAAGGCGGCUCCCUGGACUCAAACUGACGCUGAGGUACGAAAGCGUGGGUAGCAAACGGUAUUAGAAACCCCAGUAGUCC